rnacentral:rRNA from 1 species
UACGUAGGGGCCGAGCGUUGUCCGGAGUUAUUGGGCGUAAAGAGCGCGUAGGCGGUCCGGUAAGUCAGCUGUGAAAGUCAAGGGCUCAACCCUUGAAAGCCGGCUGAUACUGCCGGACUAGAGUCCGGAAGAGGCGAGUGGAAUUCCCGGUGUAGCGGUGAAAUGCGCAGAUAUCGGGAGGAACACCAAUGGCGAAGGCAGCUCGCUGGGACGGUACUGACGCUGAGGCGGCGAAAGCGGAUGGGGAGCAAACAGGGGAUUAAGA